ACCAACACUUGCUGUCUUGGUAGACAGAGGCACAGGAAACUCAGAGCCUUAAAGGAAGGUGGGAGCAGGUGAAAAGUUGGGGAGGAGAAGACGGGAAACAAAGGCCAUUAGCUCUUUGUAAAGGCUUGUGAUGAGAGAGUGAGGAGCAGAUGGAGAAUGGAGACCUCAUAUUCUCUAGUAAUAAUGAUAAUAUGGACAGGUAGUAUAUGUGCCAAGCUCUUGAUACGAAUGGCCCAAGCUGACCCUCACAAUACCACAGAGAAUUCUUCCCAUUCUUUGGAGGAGGAAACCAAGAAAUCAAGAGAUCUUUCCCAAGUACAUACGAAAUGAGGAGGACUGGAUUUGAGUCCCGCGGAGACGGCUGAGGGAGGGGGGAAUGUGGAGACAAGGAAGGUGGUAUACAGACAGGUCCCGUGUAUCUUGGACUGUCAGAGUCACAGAAAGGCAUGUUCCUUACGGCCGGAGAAGGCAGGGGUGAGUGUGAAGGAGGGGAAGGCAUCCCCAGUAAAGCAAAGGUCACAGAAAAGGCAGGGAUCCCGGGGAGGGUAAAGGGAAACGGGCUUGAGUCUCUGUCCAGAGGAGCUCUUGCCGCCUUGCAUUGGUAAAGGUUCACAGCCAUCCAUUCCCUAGCUACCUACUCCUGUCAAGAAGAGACAGGAACCCCCACCCAUGCCUUGCGUGCUGCUUCUGAAUCUGUGCCUGCCUUGCAGUACCUCCGCACCCUGGGUGGUUCUCAAGAUGGAUAUUACAAAGCCCAUUUUUUAGUGCUAGGAAAGCCAAGGCUAAGCUCACAAGCAAAGGAGACAAGCAAGAACUUCGCAGUCAGCAAUGCUCCCCCGUCCUCUGUGCAGUGGUAUGUGGAGCCCUGGUCUGGCCUCAGGACCCUCCAGGACAGGUGUGAUCCCAGCUUUGUUUCCCACACCCUCCUGAAUCCAAGUUCCCUUGCCGCCUGACCCCAGAUCCCCCACCCACAGAGCCUCUAAGCUGCAACGUGGACUUCUGCCCACUCCCAGUGCCUCACAAUACCCAGCCUUCUCCAGAACCAUACAGAGUCAGGCCCACAGGAAGAGCUAGGACACAGGGGCAAGCACAGCCCUUGGGGUCCAGUGGGACCAGCUUGGCUCAGGGCCUAACUCCUCAGCACCUCAGCAGAGUUGUGGCCCCUGAAGUCACUCAAAGGGUCUCUGUGAGGAGGAGAGCCGCACCCAGAACCCAGCCUACGGAAAGGGUUCAAAUGAGGAUUCCUCCCAAACCCCCAUGGCCAGCCUCUCCUGGACCCCCAGUCCCACAGGUCAGCUCUCUGAAGGUAAUACUUCCACGCUUACUGUCUUCAAGAAUGUUCUAUUCUCCCCUCCAGGACACAGUGAGAUCCUAGAGUGAAGAGACAGUAACAGCCGCUCUUCCCCGCAGCUCCUGGGACAGAGCACAAGAUUAAACACACAUGGAUCAGCUGAGAACAUGCGCUGAAUUUUCCCACCGUUCAUUUAGCCUUCAUCCAGAUGCAAGUCCAUGAAGAUCCCAACCCUGUCCACUAGCCUGAUGGCACAUGCUGGGCUUGAACCCACUGCCUCUAGCCUCCCAAAUCUGACAUGAACUCCACUUCCCAUCCUAAAAUGGGCAUCUUACCUCCCAGAGGAAGACACCGAAUGAACCACAACAACAAUACCACCGUACAGAUAGGCCAACAGGAUAUCUUAUUUAUCCGUUGAUUUAUAAGCAUGAAUCAAAGCCUACAAAGUCCCACAUGCUGGGCCAAGUAUUGAGGAUUCAAUGAUGACGGAUGGUGAUAGAGUAACAACCCGGAGCCCCUGCCCCACGGGUAUUGCCUCGCGUCGCAGUCUAGAUUCAGCUGAGCCACAGAACCAAAUAAAAGAGCACAAAAAGACCCAGGUGUUUGAAGGGAGAAGACAGGCGAGAGGGUGGAUGAAUAAUAUUCCCCUUUCCCACCCGAGAUUCAGAACACUACUUUUCUCCUGUUAAUUAACUACAAGGAGGCUCUCUUCACAGAACCUAGAGCCCCCUAACUGAUUGGCUAGACAGGCCUGCCAGUGAACUCUGGGGAUUUGUCUGUUCCGGUUGUCAUCUUCCCCCAGUGCUGGAGCUGGAGACAUGCUGUUACUACGCCUGGCUUUUUCUGUGGAUACUGGGGAUCUGACCGCGGGGCCAGGAGAGGACCCUGAAGACCUGAGAUCCUGAUGUGUGGGCUCGAUUGUUUCCUGGACCCUGGACGCUGGAGGCAGACCGAGCAGAGUUCUCCAGAGAACACCUCCGGACUGCACUACGUCUUUCCCAGACCCUGCAACCUACCUAUCCCUUCAUUUGCCUAGGCUCUGAAGAUUGAGUAGAGUAUCCAGCUGGUUCCUGUUUCUGCUUCCAACUUUUUGGAAGAUAUGAAGGGAGCUGAUGACCAAGCAGCAAAAUCAGAUACAAACUCAACAAAGUGGCCUGUUGGGCUGAUUACCCAUCUCUCUCUCUCCUCCAGUGAAACCAGAUGAUGCACACACAAAAGCCUAGAGCAGGAAAACCUCCUGUCAAUCAUGCUGACAUCCUUAACAAGUCAAAGACAACCAUGCCAUUGGCAGAAGAGACAAGCCACCCAGCACAAAUGCUGCUCUGUCAGACUGCGUGAUUGCCAUCGAGUCACUUACCGUUUCCCAAUUACGAGACCUCCAGUCUUCAUCUAUCAUUGAAAAGGGGAACUCAAGACACACACGUGCAAAUAGGGCACACGCCCCGCUUUCCCUGCUGUGUGGUGUUGUGGAAGAGCAAGCACAGACUAGACACUGGCCUCUUCUUCAGGAGUCUGCAGACGCUUGGGCUAUCUGAGGGAACACAUUCCAGGGAGCAUCGCUCAUGGCAUCACAGGCUCUGAACGCAGCCUGCGACUCAGAAGAAGAGCAUGGAUCCACAGGCGGAGGUGAACCAUCAGUCAGUGGGCGAUAAAAUAGCUCGUCUUCUGGGUAUUAGGUUUAUGAAACUGUUCAUACGUUUUCUUACAACGACAGCAGUUUUAGGCAUUAUGAUUAUGCUAGGCCUGGGACUACCCAACAAGUAGGGUUCCAACACAUUGGAUCUAGGGGGAGCUGGAAGCUAGCCACAGCAGUCUCCAGCAGAGCUGAGGCAGGGGAGUGCAUUGCAGAUGGCCGAAGAGCACUUGAGACACUGGGCCCAGACUUCUGAGGUCAAGUGGCCAAGCAAGGUCACCCCCCAAAAAGAGAUGCCUCACUUGGGUCAUAAUGAAAAGUAGUUUUUAGAUUACUCAUCUCUCUCUCCCUCUUCCUCUCUCUCUCCGUCCUUCCCUGCCCCCUCCCGUGUGUGUGUGUGUGUGUGUGUGUGUGUGUGUGUGUGUGUGUGUGUAUGUGUGUGUUUGCAUGCGUGUGCCAUGGUGUGCAUGUAGAAGUCAGAGAACAACUUGCACUACCAUGUGGGUCCAGGAAUCAAACUCAGGUUGUUAGGGUUGGCUGCAGACACCUUUACCCCUGAGCCAUCUUGAUAACCCCAAUAUUAUGGUAUGUUUCUAAAACGGAUGUUCAUACUCCUCCUGUCUUCACUCAUUAUGAGGGUCUGGGAAGCUAGCUACUUUACAUUGAUUAACUCACCUCAUAGUAUGUUGAACAGUUACAUGGGAGACAUGCAGUGUACACCUUCAUUACCACCACUACUGCCCCACCUAGCAAGUUAAGAAUUCUUAUUCCUGGUGCAUUAGUGAAUAGACAGGCUCUUAGAGACACUUAAAAUGGUCUCUCAGUAGGAGAGUCUUGAAAUCAAUUACAGUAAAAGGUAAACCCACAGGAUUCUCAUACAAUUAGCAACCUAAAUGCUUGUUGCAAAAAGAAUUGAAAACAAAAAACAUCUAAUUCCAGUGUCAGCUCACCAGGCAUGCUCACGGAGAUGACCAUUGUCUAUGUGAGUACCACCGAAAUGGGCCUGCAAGACCCACAGCUCAGAAUUUUGAGGACCAGUCCAGAUGUCAAGUGAGUCAGGCAGGAAUGUGGAGCCGCCUCAGUACUUUGAAGUCAACUCAGAGAGACCAAGCUAUCGCUUCAAAAGUCUCAUGAAGAGAGGUGUUCUGAGGCCCAGCUGGCAGAUGUGGGUCACUGCAGGGUAGGACUUAAAGUCUGUUUCUGCUUCUGCUUCUGACUGUCACCCUCCAAGAUUAGAGGAGCCCUAGCUGCAUGCCUGACUACCAUAAGCACAGUGAUACUUCUCCACCAUGAUGCUGUACUAUCCUGGUGGGGAUGCAGAUAUCCUAAAGAGACAUUCCUGGAGCUGAGAUGAUGAUGGGCAGGACCACACCUUGACCAGAACAGCUUACUGGUACAUACCUCUUGUCCUCUACUUUAAACCUAAACCUCAUCAAGACCCUGGGAGGUGGGUGGUCACUGGGAUUGUUUUUUCCCUCUUCCCAAUGUGGCCACAUUUCAUGAAUCUCCCUCUUCUGCUUUUCACUGUUACUUGUUUCUUUACUUGGUUCAUUGAGGACAAGUAAGUGACUCUGGUUUAUCAGGGCUUUGCUGCCCAGGCUCUGACCCUAAGUCCAGGAACAAAGGAUUGUGUCCCCUCAAACCAUGAGCCAAAUAAACUCAUACUCCUUGAAAUUGUUUUUGUCAGCAUUUUGGCACAAGGAAGAGGAAAGCAAUUAACACAGCAGCAAAUAAUUUAACAUUCUGAGAUACGUGUCCAGUGUGGGACAAUGAAAUAAGCUAUUAGCAUCUUCUCACAUCUUGCUAUGAAUAGUUCUCAGAUCACAGCCCACGACUACAGGGCAAGCCCUGUUCUUAAUACAAAAAGCACUGUGCAAAUAAAUGGCUAUCUUCAGAUAAACAAAUGAAUAAAUAAAUGUAUUUGGGGGCUAGAGAGGUGGCUUGCUGGUUCAGAGUACUUUCUGUUCUUUCAGAGAACCCAUGUUCCCUUACCAGUAUCCACAUUGGGUGGCUCACAACAACCUGUAACUCCAGCUCCCAGGGACCUGGUGCCUCUUUUGACCUCCAGGAAUACACACACACACACACACACACACACACACACACACACACACACACACACACGCAUGUAAAAAGUAUUGUUUAAAAGGACAAAUGCUUGGGUAUAUAUACUCACUAGCUUUGUUAUGCAAAAGAGACUGACAUAAGACCUGCUUGUACAGCUGUCUUAAGUUUGCUGGAGUAAACUUCAUCAGAAAAAUUUCACAGAGCUUAAACAUCAUUAAAGCUGAUUUUAAGACAUUGCCCCAAUUUCUUUUACUAUAAUCUGUUGCUGUCAUUAUAAAAACCACAGUAUCAUGCCAUGAGGUAAUACUUCCUUAUUUAGAAAAGCUACUGGAUGAUUCAUAAUCGUCGUGGUAGUGAUACACUUUCAAUUAUAUGGAGAAAAAACUCAAAUCCCUUUUAAUUCCACCUUCUUUAACCAUGAAGGGUAUUUCGUCCAGAUCUCACCCGCUGAUACAACCCAGAUGAAAAAGAGAUCCUUUCUUUAUUACUUACAGGGAGCUGUAAAUCAAAUGGGGACCUCCGUGGGGGUGAGGAUAAAGGAGAAGGAGGGAGGGUUCAUUUGCUUAUUAGGUUUCCAUAUAAAAACAUUAAGAAUAACAGGCAGUUUCAGUGUGCCCCAACCAAAGCCUCGAAUCAGUUGCUUCUGAAACAUGAAAGACUUCUGUUAUGGACAAAUUGCAAUCAGCCUAACUUUCUGUAGCCUUGUGCACAUGCAUGCUGCCCUGACCGAUGAGACGUUAUUAAUAAAGGAAGAGAUGAGUAUGAAUUAAAGCAAGCCUCGCUUAAUCACAUUAAUCCACAGCAAGUCAAAGGCUUCAAUUUUCGAAAUAAUUUUGGGCUUAAUGCCUCGGAGAUGGGCAGCCUGCUCCAUUGAGGAAGCAGCUGGUCCAAUUUGAGCUCCAUUGUGAGUCUAGAAUUGCCAGGUCCUCAGAGCAACACGGAAGCCUGACAGUUUUCAGGACGCGACCAGAAGUACAGAGACAAAGGAAAUUGCAAGACAUUGAAAGGGUCCCGAACAAUGACAAGGCGGCCCUCUGUGGGGUGGAUUAUAUAUGAUUACCAGACUCACUGCCGGCAUGGAUGGCGGCGUGCUCUCUCGGGCCCCUGCAGCUGCUGCGGGAUGCACAGUCAAGGACCCACAACCAGGGGUUACAGAUUAGAAAAAGGCUGACUCGAAGGCAACAGAGCAGCAACCACUGGCCUGUGUUCACCUCCCUCUGCUCGUCUCCUCCACACACAGCAGUGUGCUGGUCAUCAGGCAGCUACUGGGGGACAUCUUGUGACCAGCAUGCACAUACGAUAUGACACUCACACGCCUGAGUAGAAGGAACUUUCUCCCCAAGUGUGACUGUGGUUUUCAUAAGUAAGACAGCUGCCUAUGUGACGAAACUGAAAAUGGAGGUUAGGACAAAGCAAGCUCCAUGCUGGGCGUCAAGAUGUGGAACUGCGGCUGUAGGACACCAGGAAAAUCUGUGUGUUCUCAGGGUCUUGCUUCCUUCAGGAAUCAAACCACCACUCCUAGCCUCAUGUUUCGGGGCUUAGAACUUAGGGUGGACCAGCUCCACAUUGCUCACAGAGCCUCCCCACACACUCACACUGACAGUAAGGGUACUACUGGGUAUGGGGGAAUACCACAGACCCAGAGCCCAAAGCUCAGUUUUAUUUCUCAAAGUUAGCUGUGACUGUUGUCAGAGUCAGGAGUGACUUCAUCUUUGACCAGGGAUAAACAUUUUCUGCCAUUUCCUUUCUGCUCUAGGACUCCAAUCUCCCAGAACUCCCAAGUGCCAGAAAAGAAAGCCUAUCGAGACUUGGACAGUAAAACCGUAACUAACCCUCUCCGACAAGGCUUGCGCUGGGGAAAUAAGGCCUGGCCUGCUGGCACAGAAGGCUCAUACUUGCCUCUGCUCUUCUCUUUAGACAGCUGUAUGUGUCUGUUCCAAACCUCAGACCCAAUGAAAUGACCUCACAGCCAUUUCAUGUAUUGUAUAAUACGUGUAUGUUCUCGUAGGGACGCCUGGCUAGGUGGGGUUCUAUUCAGUCUCUUUACUUUCAUGGCUUGACCUUUUAACACAUAAUAGACAUUUUAGAAAAAGGAUGCCUAUCUAUAGAAGUGAGCAAAUGAAACAUCAAUUCUAAUAUUUAAACUGAAUGAAAAUGAUGGAUUUGUAUAUAAUGAAUGCCUUUGGUUAAUUCUACUAACACGAUACCUCUUGAAAGCUGUUUAAUAAAUACAUCCAGAUAACAUUAA